UCUUAUGGAUGAGCAAAGAAAGUGGUUUCUUGAGAUGGAAACUACUCCUGAGGAAGAUGCUGUGAA
rnacentral:pre_miRNA from 1 species